rnacentral:tRNA from 1 species
UCCAGGGUAGCCUAGUGGACAUGGCAUCUGCCCGGUAAGCGGAACAAAGUGGGUUCGAUUCCCAUCCCUGGAC